rnacentral:rRNA from 1 species
UACGAAGGGGCGUAGCGUUGUUCGGAUUUACUGGGCGUAAAGCGCACGUAGGCGGAUUGUUAAGUCAGGGGUGAAAUCCUGGAGCUCAACUCCAGAACUGCCUUUGAUACUGGCAAUCUCGAGUCCGGAAGAGGUAAGUGGAACUCCUAGUGUAGAGGUGGAAUUCGUAGAUAUUAGGAAGAACACCAGUGGCGAAGGCGGCUUACUGGUCCGGAACUGACGCUGAGGUGCGAAAGCGU